rnacentral:rRNA from 1 species
CCUACGAGGACCGGAGGUGUCCCUUGUCUGGUGUCGGCUCUCCGUAAUGAACGUCUGCCCAAGGAUUUCAAAGGACCUAGGAAGGUACCUAAUUAUACGGCUGAUUUACAACCCGGAGCAUGGAUCGAGAGCUACGAGAUGGCUAUGGAGUUGCUAGAGGUCAGCGAAGCGGCAAUGGCCAAAUACUUCACCAUGAUGUUGGAUGGGACUGCCCGCACUUGGUUGAAAGGACUGCCGCCUAAUUCUAUUGGGUCAUGGGCAGAGCUAAAAGCCCGGUUCAUGCAAAACUUCAAAGAUACAUGUAGGCAAUCUAUGUCAAUUGUGGAUUUGAUUAACUGCAAGCAUCAAGAGGGCGAGUCUACAACCCAUUGGGUUCGCCGGGUCAAAGAGAUAAUACAUUCGUCUGAUAAGAUGGAUGCCGGCUCUGCAGUCUUAAUGUUGGAGCAAAAUUGUCAU